GGAGGGUGCAAGCGUUAAUCGGAAUUACUGGGCGUAAAGCGCACGCAGGCGGUUUGUUAAGUCAGAUGUGAAAUCCCCGGGCUCAACCUGGGAACUGCAUCUGAUACUGGCAAGCUUGAGUCUCGUAGAGGGGGGUAGAAUUCCAGGUGUAGCGGUGAAAUGCGUAGAGAUCUGGAGGAAUACCGGUGGCGAAGGCGGCCCCCUGGACGAAGACUGACGCUCAGGUGCGAAAGCGUGGGGAGCAAACAGGGAUUAGAUACCCUGGUAGUCCACGCCGUAAACGAUGUCGACUUGGAGGUUGUGCCCUUGAGGCGUGGCUUCCGGAGCUAACGCGUUAAGUCGACCGCCUGGGGAGUACGGCCCGCAAGGUUA
rnacentral:rRNA from 1 species